GACGAACGCUGGCGGCGUGCCUGAUACAUGCAAGUCGAACGCUUUGAUUUUCACCGGAGCUUGCUCCACCGAAAAUCAAAGAGUGGCGGACGGGUGAGUAACACGUGGGCAACCUGCCCAACAGAGGGGGAUAACACUUGGAAACAGGUGCUAAUACCGCAUAAUUUGUUUUUCCGCAUGGAAGAAUAAUAAAAGACGCUUCGGUGUCACUGUUGGAUGGGCCCGCGCUGCAUUAGUUAGUUGGUGGGGUAACGGCCUACCAAGACCAUGAUGCAUAGCCGACCUGAGAGGGUGAUCGGCCACACUGGGACUGAGACACGGCCCAGACUCCUACGGGAGGCAGCAGUAGGGAAUCUUCGGCAAUGGACGAAAGUCUGACCGAGCAACGCCGCGUGAGUGAAGAAGGUUUUCGGAUCGUAAAACUCUGUUGUUAGAGAAGAACAAGUGAGAGAGUUACUGUUCUCACCUUGACGGUAUCUAACCAGAAAGCCACGGCUAACUACGUGCCAGCAGCCGCGGUAAUACGUAGGUGGCAGGCGUUGUCCGGAUUUAUUGGGCGUAAAGCGAGCGCAGGCGGUUUCUUAAGUCUGAUGUGAAAGCCCUCGGCUCAACCGAGGAAGGUCAUUGGAAACUGGGGAACUUGAGUGCAGAAGAGGAGAGUGGAAUUCCAUGUGUAGCGGUGAAAUGCGUAGAUAUAUGGAGGAACACCAGUGGCGAAGGCGACUCUCUGGUCUGUAACUGACGCUGAGGCUCGAAAGCGUGGGGAGCAAACAGG
rnacentral:rRNA from 1 species